AGUGAACGCUGGCGGUAGGCUUAACACAUGCCAGUCGAACGGCAGCACAGUAAGAGCUUGCUCUUACGGGUGGCGGGUGGCGGACGGGUGAGGAAUACAUCGGAAUCUACUUUUUCGUGGGGGAUAACGUAGGGAAACUUACGCUAAUACCGCAUACGACCUACGGGUGAAAGCAGGGGAUCUUCGGACCUUGCGCGAUUGAAUGAGCCGAUGUCGGAUUAGCUAGUUGGCGGGGUAAAGGCCCACCAAGGCGACGAUCCGUAGCUGGUCUGAGAGGAUGAUCUGCCACACUGGAACUGAGACACGGUCCAGACUCCUACGGGAGGCAGCAGUGGGGAAUAUUGGACAAUGGGCGCAAGCCUGAUCCAGCCAUACCGCGUGGGUGAAGAAGGCCUUCGGGUUGUAAAGCCCUUUUGUUGGGAAAGAAAAGCAGCAGGUUAAUACCCCGCUGUUCUGACGGUACCCAAAGAAUAAGCACCGGCUAACUUCGUG
rnacentral:rRNA from 1 species